UGAAUCAUCCACAUCGUGUUGAACGCACCUUGCGCCCUUUGGCAUUCCGCAAGUGGCACACCCGUUUGAGUGUCNUGACAUUCUCAAAACCUUCUUGGUUUCUCGACUGAGAACGGCUUUGGACUUUGGAGGCUUUUGCUGAAGCCUUCCCUUGUUGAAGCCAGCUCCUCUGAAAUGAAUUAGUGGGGUCUGCUUUGCUGAUCCUUGACGUGAUAANAUGCUUCUACGUCUUGGGUUUUGCACUGUCUUGCUCUANAUCCUGCUUCUAACUGUCUUAUAGAAGACAAAUGGUCGACUUGACCCACAAACCUUGACCUCAAAUCGGGUGAGACUACCCGCUGAACUUAAGCAUAUCAAUAAGCCGGAGGAA
rnacentral:rRNA from 1 species